AGCAGCCGCGGUAAUUCCAGCUCCAAUAGCGUAUAUUAAAGUUGUUGCAGUUAAAAAGCUCGUAGUUGAAUUUCGGGAUCAGUACGCCGGUCGUGCCUUCGGUAUGUACUGGUGUCACUGAUUCCUCCCUUCUGAAGAACCGUUAUGCCAUUUAUUUGGUGUGGCGGGGAAUCAGGACUGUUACUUUGAAAAAAUUAGAGUGUUUAAAGCAGGCUCGCGCUUGAAUACAUUAGCAUGGAAUAAUGAAAUAGGACGUUUGAUUCUAUUUUGUUGGUUUCUAGGAUCGACGUAAUGAUUAAUAGGGAUAGUUGGGGGCAUUAGUAUUCAAUUGUCAGAGGUGAAAUUCUUGGAUUUAUUGAAGACUAACUACUGCGAAAGCAUUUGCCAAGGAUGUUUUCAUUAAUCAAGAACGAAAGUUAGGGGAUCGAAGACGAUCAGAUACCGUCGUAG
rnacentral:rRNA from 1 species